rnacentral:rRNA from 1 species
UACGGUAGGGUGCGAGCGUUAUCCGGAUUUAUUGGGGUUUAAAGGGUAGCGUAGGCGGACAGUCAAGUCAGCGGUAAAAAUGCGGUGCUCAACGCCGUACAGCCGUUGAAACUGGCAGUCUUGAGGUGGGCGAGAAGUAAGCGGAAGUGCGUGGUGUAGCGGUGAAAUGCAUAGAUAUCACGGCAGAACUCCGAUUGCGAAGGCAGCAUACCGGCGCCCGACGUGACGCUGGAAGCACGAAAGCGUGGGUAUCGAACAGGA